CCUACGGGAGGCAGCAGUGGGGAAUAUUGGGCAAUGGGCGCAAGCCUGACCCAGCAACGCCGCGUGAAGGAAGACGGCUCUCGGGUUGUAAACUUCUUUUCUCAGGGACGAAGCAAGUGACGGUACCUGAGGAAUAAGCCACGGCUAACUACGUGCCAGCAGCGGCGGCAAUACGGAGGUGGCAAGCGUUAUCCGGAUUUACUGGGUGUAAAGGGCGUGUAGGCGGGGAGGCAAGUCAGAUGUGAAAACCACGGGCUCAACCCGUGCACUGCAUUUGAAACUGUGUGUCUUGAGUACAGGAGAGGCAGACGGAAUUCCUGGUGUAGCGGUGAAAUGCGUAGAUAUUA
rnacentral:rRNA from 1 species